AACAUGUCCGGAGGGCAUUUUCUUGUCAACUCCUUGUAUCUCUCCCAUGCCUCAUAGAGAGUUUCACCAUCUUGUUGUCUAAAGGUUUGCACCUCAGCUCUAAACCU